rnacentral:rRNA from 1 species
CUACGGGAGGCAGCAGUGGGGAAUCUUGGACAAUGGGCGCAAGCCUGAUCCAGCCAUGCCGCGUGUGUGAUGAAGGCCUUAGGGUCGUAAAGCACUUUCGCCAGAGAUGAUAAUGACAGUAUCUGGUAAAGAAACCCCGGCUAACUCCGUGCCAGCAGCCGCGGUAAUACGGAGGGGGUUAGCGUUGUUCGGAAUUACUGGGCGUAAAGCGCACGUAGGCGGAUUAGUCAGUCAGAGGUGAAAUCCCAGGGCUCAACCCUGGAACUGCCUUUGAUACUGCUAGUCUUGAGUUCGAGAGAGGUGAGUGGAAUUCCGAGUGUAGAGGUGAAAUUCGUAGAUAUUCGGAGGAACACCAGUGGCGAAGGCGGCUCACUGGCUCGAUACUGACGCUGAGGUGCGAAAGUGUGGGGAGCAAACAGGAUUAGAUACCCUGGUAGUCCACACCGUAAACGAUGAAUGCCAGUCGUCGGGYAGUAUACUAUUCGGUGACACACCUAACGGAUUAAGCAUUCCGCCUGGGGAGUACGGUCGCAAGAUUAAAACUCAAAGGAAUUGACGG